rnacentral:lncRNA from 1 species
CCGUGACUCUCCCUGAACGCCUCUGCCUCAAAGACUACACUUCCCAUUGACCCCUGCAGUGACUUCCGCGUCUGGCGUCAGCGGCCCUGCGACGGGCGGUAGUGACGUGUCAGAGGAGCUCGAUUUUUGCUUGUGGUCCUGGCUGGCGGUUUCUGUACCAGACUUCUUCUUGGUUUAUUCUUGCUGCAGCUGUGGGGUUGGAUACCUGCGCCCGUACUCUUAUCCAGUGAUGCUUGCUGUACAGGAAAAGUAUGAACGACCGAGAUCUUAUGGGCCUGGAGAUGAGAGACUGUCUGAGCUGCCUGGAAGAAGAGGGAAAGACCAAAAGAAGAGACAAUAACAGGAAAAUACUUCCUCUACAGCAUCACUUGCUUUGAGGAUAAUAAAACAAUGCUAUCUCCCA